rnacentral:lncRNA from 1 species
AGAACAAUUCUAAAUUUGUUUUAACAUAUUAAAUACAUUUAAUUUAUAAUUUUUUUACAUACAUUCAAAUUUUUUUAAAUAAGUGAUACAAAAUUAAUGUCUAAGCUAUAAAAUUUUAAAAGUUUUUUAAACAUAUUAAAUAUGUUGAAUUAAAAUAUUUACAAACAUUACACAUUUUUUAAAUAGUAAUACAAAAUUUCUCUAACUUAAAUUUCAAUUUUUUAAUUUUAAAUAUUUAAUAUUUAAAUUCAGCAUAUUUAGAAAUAAAACUAUUUCUAAAAUACCUAUA